rnacentral:lncRNA from 1 species
CAAUAAAUGUCUGAUACAUUAACUUUCUUCCUCUGCACUCAGUAGGGAGCCAAGAUGAAGUCAAAGGUUGGUCAGGACACUCUUCCUGGACAUUUAUAUUAGAUAAAAUAUUGUCCUCUCUUCCCACCACUGACAUCGAAUCUAACAAAGAAAGAGAAAUAAAAUAUAUAAACUGCAAUUGGAGGGUUGAUUCUUUUAUUGAUGAGUAGCAAAUUCUCUGCAGAACCCACAAUACUUAAGCAGUACUCCAGGGCCACAUGAAGAUACUGUUGGUGACUACUCAACAAGCUUGCAUUAAGCGCCUAUGAAAAACAACCAUAUGGCUUAGACCUGCCCUCGGGAAGUUCACAGUCUAGGUGGGAAGACACAUUCAAACACAUAAUGUGGCUCUAGGGCAAAGGCUUGAAUGCAGUCAUGGUUAGUUAAACAAGCCUGUCUCAGAAUCAUCUGGCAAACUUGUUAAAACACAAGUCCUAGACUCCAUCCCCACUGAUACUGGGUCAGGGAUCAUGCCCAUGAUCUUACAUUUCUAGCAAACUCCAGUGAUGCUGUUCUGCUAUUUUAUGGCUGUUUGAGUAGCAUCGUUAUAUUAGAAGUCAAAGUAAUGGGAUUAUUUAUAGAGGAGGGAAAGAGUAAUUUCUUGCAGUAGGGAGGAUGUUAUCUGGAGUGACUUUAUGGAGGAAGUACUGUAGUUUUUAAUCAAAGCCUAGAAGUCUGGGUAGGAUUUCAGCAGGCAGCAACUAUAAGUGUCUUCACAUAAAUAAAAUACUAACAAGUCAGGAAACAAUGCAGAAAUGCAGAAUAUAUUCAGCAAGCAGAAUAGCAGGGUGCAUAAGUUGUGGAAGGCAGAGUGACAGAAAGCAAUGCUGGUCACUGGUUUCUAGAAGACCUUGAGUCUACUGACUGGGUGCUGAGGCAGAGGAGGUCAAGCUUAUUUUGUAACUGACAGGGAUCAUGAAAUAUUUUUGAACAUGGGAAGAAUGUCAUCAGUUCAAUGACCUAAUGCUUCAUGUCUGAGUGUGAGAUGGAUUGGAGGAAGUGAUGAGGAAUGGGAAGACGAUUUGGUCCACAGACUUAUUAAAGUCUUUAAGUGAUAAAGAGGUCAUCUGGAAGCCUAACCUAGGCCAGUGGGAGUAGUAAGAAGGCAUUAGACAGGAAGAGAAAGUGGAAGACAUAUCAUCAGAAUUUUAAAAUUAAAUUACACAUGGUAGAUGAGAGAGAGGAACAAGUCAAAAAUGACCCUAAGGAGCAGAGACUGAGUACUGAUGCCAGCAGAAGAGAAAGGAAUUUUAGGGAAAGAAAGGAUUCAACAAGGAAGAUAGUGAGCUUGGUUUUGUACCUAUCGAAUUUGAGGUGCCUACAAGUUAUCUAGUAGCUUGCAUUGCAAGCCGAGGUUCAGUAGAGAGGCUGAGGCUGUGCAGACAUUAAAUAUUUUUCAUUAUCUGAGUGUGUCAUGCGGAAGUGAUUAUGGAACCCAGGAGAGUAGAUGACUUCAUCAGGGAGUACACACAGAGUGAGGAGAAGAUGAAGGCAACUGAACCUUAGGGAGUGUCUACAUGUAACUGGUUGGUGGAAGAGCCUGCAGAGAAGACUCAGCAAGAAUGGUCUGGGAGGCCCUGGGGAGGCAGCUGAAUGCUGUGUUCAGAACAACAAGGGAGAAGACUUUGGCAGGGAGUGAUUCGAAGAGUUAACUGCGACAGAAGCUGAGAAGGAGGAAAGAGAAGCCAUUGGAUGUGUGGCUCGGGACGUUCAGGGGUGCACUUUCCAUGGCGGGGCAGGAUCCAGGCUUCAGGGAGUCAGUAAGUAAACUGGGGUGAGGAAGUAGAGGAAGCGAGUGGUCAGUGGUGACAGAAAGAAAAUGGGACAGUAACUCGAGAGGGAGACAAGGUCAUGGGAGGAUUUGGUUGUUUUUUCAGGGUCUGGAGAUGUGCAUGUGUGUAGGCCAAGGGGAAGGAGCCCGUGGGAAGGGAAGGAUUAAAGAGGUAGUAAGAAAGAGAGGAGGGGAGUGAGGCUGCGAGUCUGGGAAGGGUGGAGAGGCUGGGACGGAAAGCUCUGGGGCUGAAGGGCCACUUCAGUAUGAGGUCCUUUGGGUGUUCUGGCAACGAAACUGACUUGGACAAGGUCCAAGCAAGACUCUCCUUUCACUAAAGCAAACAGCAUGGUGGCACUAACACUUCUCUGAGAAGCUCAAAUACAGAGAUGUCUCUUUUUCCCCCCAAGACCGGUCUUUCCACUUUCAAGCAUUCAAAAAGGUCCAAAAGUUAAAUUAGAGUUUCAAUAUUCUAAUUUUCCAACAAAUUUAUUUCCUUCAUGGGUUAGCCAAAUCAAGGAGUCUUUUCCCUCACCUGGGUCCCCAAAUUUAAUUAGCCAACUUCCUCCUUCCCUUCUGAGAGUCAGAAAAUAGACUUUUUUUCUCUCCUUCCCCUCCUGGCUUUUGCUUAUCUAAGCUAGGGUCCCCAUGAGAGCUUUCAGCUGCUUUAUUUCAGCUGGUCCCUCAUAGCCACACUGACUCUGGUUAACCUUCUCUAGCUUCUCUGGGACCACUUUUAGGAAAGUUUGCUAGGUAUUCUGACCUACUAAUAGGUCCCUUAAGGGGAAGUCCACACCAUCACAGUAGAUCUUACUACCUAACACCUAGUGAAAUCCUAGGCUUUGCUGAGCUCAGCCAAGACACCACAGGAAACACAUGGUCUGGGGUUCCCAGAGAGAUUGUCUAUAUCUCAAAGAAUAAUGCUAAACAGACAGAAUACAAAACUGUCUGGAAUAGAAGGCUUUGGGGUUUUAAAGAGCCCACUUUUUGUUUUUUCUAAAAAUUUGUUUGGGAGGGAUUAGCUUUGUGACUAAGCAUAGGAAAUAGAUGAAAUGUGUUUCCUAGAUUUCAUCUUAUUCUUAGGUAGUAUUAUGGCAUUAUUAAUCUCACCAUGGCAUUGUUCCACAUGCUAAUGCUUUUUAAAAAGCAUGUCAUUAGUUUGAGUGACAGAAACAUGUUCUGCACCCUUCAUAGAUAUUCAAUAUCUCUGUUCUUAAAACAUUUUCUUAAACAUCAAGUUCUGUUCCAUAACAUUUACAGAAACACAGCACUGAAAAUUGUAACUGUCUCAUCUUUCAUGGUAAAUUGAAGAUUUCAGGAGAAAGAAAAUGACCAAACACGAUUAUAAAAAUGGCAAGUGGGACAUAAACUUCUGCUCUAAGGCAUAGUUUCAAAUUUUUUUUUAUUAUACUUUAAGUUCUGGGAUACAUGUGCAGAACGUGUAGGUUUGUUACAUAGGUAUACACAUGCCAUGGUGGUUUGCUGCACCCAUCACCCUGUCAUCUACAUUAGGUAUUUCUCCUAAUGUUAUCCCUCCCCUAGCCCCCCACCCCACUGACAGGCCCCUGUGUGUGAUGUUCCCCUCCCCAGAUCCAUGUGUUCUCAUUGUUCAACUCUCACCUAUGAGUGAGAACAUGCGGUGUUUGGUUUUCUGUUCUUGUGUUAGUUUGCUGAGAAUGAUGGUUUCCAGCUUCACCCAUGUCCCUGCAAAGGACAUGAACUCAUCCUUUUAAUGGCUGCAUAGUAUUCCAUGAUGUAUAUGUGCCACAUUUUCUUUAUCCAGGCUAUCAUUGAUAGGCAGUUGGGCUGGUUCCAAGUCUUUGCUAUUGUGAACAGUGCCACAAUAAAUGUACAUGUGCAUGUAUCUUUAUAGAAUGAUUUAUAAUCCUUUGGGUAUAUAGCCAGUAAUGGGAUUGCUGGGUCAAACGGUAUUGCUGGUUCUAGAUCCCUGAGGAAUCGCCACACUGUCCUCCACAAUGGUUGAACUAAUUUACACUGCCACCAACAGUGUAAAAGGGUUCCUAUUUCUCCACAUCUUCUCCAGCACCUGUUGUUUCCUGACUUUUUAAUGAGGGGCAUUCUAACUGGUGUGAGAUGGUAUCUCAUUGUGGUUUUGAUUUGCAUUUCUCUAAUGACCAGCGAUUAUGAGGUUUUUUUUCAUGUGUUUAUUGGCCACAUAAAUGUCUUCUUUUGAGAAGUGUCUGUUCAUAUAUCCUUCGCUUACUUUUUGAUGGGGUUGUUUUUUUCUUGUAAAUUUGUAUAAGUUCUUUGUAGAUUCUGGAUAUUAGCCCUUUGUCAGAUGGAUAGAUUGCAAAAAUUUUCUCCCAUUCUGUAGGUUGCCUGAUCACUCUGAUGAUAGUUUCUUUUGCUGUGCAGAAGCUCUUUAGUUUAAUUAGAUCCUAUUUUUCAAGUUUGGCUUUUGUUGCCAUUUCUUUUUGUGUUUUAGUCAUGAAGUCUUUGCUCAUGCCUAUGUCCUGGAUGGUAUUGCCUAGGUUUUCUUCUAGGAUUUUUAUGGUUUUAUGUUUUAUGUUUAAGUCUUUAAUCCAUCUUAAUUUUUGUAUAAGGUGUAAGGAAGGGGUCCAGUUUCAGUUUUCUGCAUAUGGCUAGCCAGUUUUCCCAACACCACUUAUUAAAUAGGGAAUCCUUUCCCCAUUGUUUGCUUUUGUCAGGUUUGUCAAAGAUCAGAUGGUUGUAGAUGUGUGGUGUUAUUUCUGAGGCUUCCGUUCUGUUCCAUUUGUCUAUAUAUCUAUUUUGGUACCAGUACCAUGCUGUUUUUUGUUACCAUAGCCUUGUAGUAUAGUUUGAAGUCAAGUAGUGUGAUGCCUCCAGCUUUGUUCUUUUUGCUUAGGAUUGCCUUGACUAUACAGGCUCCUUUUUGGUUCCAUAUGAAUGUUAAAGUAGUUUUUUCUAAUUCUGUGAAGAAAGUCAAUGGUAGCUUGUUGGGGAUAGCAUUGAAUCUAUAAAUUACUUUGGGCAGCAUGGCCAUUUUCAUGAUAUUGAUUCUUCCUAUCCAUGAGCAUGGAAUGUUUUUCCAUUUGUUUGUGUCCUCUUUUAUUUCAUUGAGCAGUGGUUUGUAGUUCUCCUUGAAGAGGUUCUUCACAUCUCUUGUAAUUUGUAUUCCUAGGUAUUUUAUUCUCUUAGCAAUUGUGAAUUGGAGUUCACUCAUGAUUUGGCUGUUUGUCUAUUAUUGGUAUAUAGGAAUGCUUCUGAUUUUUGCACAUUGAUUUUGUAUCCUGAGACUUUGCUGAAGUUGCUUAUCAGCUUAAGGAGUUUUUGGGCUGAGACGAUGAGGUUUUCCAAAUAUACAAUCAUAUCAUCUGCAAACAGAGACAAUUUGACUUCCUCUCUUCCUAUCUGAAUAUGCUUUCUUUCUUUCUCUUGCCUGAUUGCCCUCACCAGAACUUUCAAUACUAUGUUGAAUGGAGUGGUGAGAGAGGGCAUCCUUGUCUUGUGCUGGUCUUCAAAGGGAAUGCUUCCAGCUUUUGCCCAUUCAGUGUGAUAUUGGCUGUGGGUUUGUCAUAAAUAGCUCUUAUCAUUUUGAGAUACAUUCCAUGAAUACCUAGUUUGAGAGUUUUUAACAUGAAGGGUUAUUGAAUUUCAUCAAACGCCUUUUCUGCAUCUAUUGAGAUAAUCAUGUGAUUUUUGUCCGUGGUUCUGUUUAUGUGAUGGAUUUACGUUUAUUGAUUUGUGCCUGUUAAACCAGCCUUGCAUCCCAGGGAUGAAGCCGAUUCGAUAGUAGCGGAUAAGCUUUUUGAUGUGCUGCUGGAUUCAAACUGAAGCCGGCAAACCGAAUCAAAACAUUUUUAUAACACGAAUAUGAAGAGUUUAUUUCCUACUGUCUUUAAUUUUUGUUUCAGCCUUUAAAAUAAUAUUCAUGGAAAUUUGUGAGAAUAUGGAUUUAAUAAAAUAUAGAGAAUAAACUGUGCUUUAAAAUUAGAAAUGGAGUAAUAUAUAUUAUUGCAUUUUUUGGUGUAAUUGUGUUGCUAUCAAGUCUUUAUUCUAUUUUCAAAAGUAUUCGUCUGUCAAUCCUUAUGUUGCAGUAAUAAAAAAAUUUAAUAUCUGCUCGUGAAAUAUAAUAAUCAUUUUGCCUGAGUGGAUGUAACCACUAACCAAAGUGACCCGGUGAGCAUGUAAGGAAAAGAGUUUGCCCGUUUAUGCUGCUUCACAUCUUCCAGUGUGAAGAGCAGGUUCAUAUGGAGGCUACACACAGAUGCUAGAGUCAGACUGGUUUAAAUCACAGCUCUGUGUGACCUUCAUCAAUAUACUUGCUAACCCGCUGUCUCGGAUUCCUCUUCUGUAAUAUGGGGAUUAUAAAAUAGUAAUCUACCUGAAACGGUGUGGCGACUAAAUAAUUUAAUGUUGGCAGAGUGCUGCAACAGACGCUGAGGCUACUCCAUGCAAAUACCCAUCCCUACCUGCUGAGGGUUUGGGCCACUAAAGACUCAGACCUGACCAGGCAUGGUGGCUCACACCUGCAAUCCCAGCACUUUGGGAGGCUGAAGUGGGCAGAUCACUUGAGGUCAGGAGUUUGAGACUAGCCUGGGCAACAUGGAGAAGCCCCGUCUCUGCUAAAAAUACAAAAAUUAGCCAGUUGUGGUGGCGCACACCUGUAGUCCCAGCUACUCAGGAGGCUGAGGCAGGAGAAUCACUUGAACCCAGGAGGUGGAGGUUGCAGUGAGCCAAGAUCACGCCACUGCACUCCAGCCUGGGCAACAGAGCAAGACUUCAUGUCAAAAAAAAAAAAAAAAAGAAAAAGAAAAAGAAAAAGAAAAAGAAAAGAAAAGAAAAGAAAAGAAAAGAAAAGAAAAGAAAAGAAAAGAAAAGAAAUAUUCACACCUGCACCCUUCUCAAGAGGCUUGCCCCUGGCUGACAGGUACUCUCUUGAGGGGGUGCUUGUUAUGCACUCUCCCAGCACCCACUACUGCAAGUGGCCCAUAACUAAUGACCUACUGGUUCAGGGUUAUAAGAGCCAGCACCCCUGCUUCUGGAGGACUAAACGCUGUGGUACAAUCCACUAGUCAGAACUCCCAUAGGAUCAGGCUGGGGCUAGACUUCUAAAGCCAUUCUUUGUUUAUCUUCUUUCCCUGCCCUGCUCUCACGCCUUUCCUGGUUUUCCCUCCAUAAAUUAUUCCUUCCUUUGCACAGAAUCCCUGGCUCAGGCUCUGCUGGGGAACUGGACCUGAGACCAGUACUUCAAAUAGUGCUUGGCACUAUGUUAGCAAUUAUUAAGGAUUAAAACAAUCAAAUUAUUUGGUCUAAGUCAGAUGUAUAAAUUGGAGACUUUAUUGUUUAGAAUGGAGUGACUUGCACGUUCGUCAUCAGAGCUGAUAAAUAACUGCUUCCACAUCAGCUUGUCUUUAUAAUUAUUUUUCUUUCAAUGGGAAUGCUUAAAGAAAGCCCAUUUCAGAGUUGUCAGGGAACAGUUUGAACAAGGACAGAGGGUGUCCAGCACAACUGGGGAAUGCGAGGCCUGACUCCAUAGCCGAUGAGCAGGCAGGGUUACAGGUGUCCUAGGUUUCAGAGUCUUGGAACAGAGCAGGAGAAGGGGCAAAGCAGCAGGUACUGGGAGGAGCUAUGGUUCAGCUCUCCCUCAUUUCUUGACAGACAGGAAGAGGUUUGUACCCUGGGGUACUUUAGCUGCUUGAAGUAACCAGGUCUUAGGCAUUGUUUUGUUCAAAUCAAGAUACAGGAAACUUCUCUCAAUAUUGAAAAAAGAGAGAAAAGGCAACGGGGAAAAAAAAGGAGGGAAAGGAUGGGAGCUUUAGCUAUCAGAAAGAGAAGACUCUUCCUGUGUAGCACGGGAGAGAAGGGAAUUAUCUAGAUUUAGGAGAGUGGACAGAGGCAGAACUCAGACAAAUUUAACUGCUAAAAUGCUCAUGUGUGCUACAAGGGCAGGAAGUAUCCCCCUGGGAAUGUGUUACUGUUGAGGAGAAAGGCCAUCAGCAAACCUAAAGGGGCCAUGUUGCAGGAGCAAAGCCCCCACAAAGGAACUAAGCUGCAAGCCCUUAGGUGGCAGUAUAUGCCAGAAGGGACAGCCAAAACAGGCAGCUGGGCCUAGGAAUUUUAUCUUCAAAAAUCCAAAUGCAGUCUUGAAGAAGUUAUCUCCCAUCUCCUAUCUCAAGAUGGAAAAUCAAAGCCACCAUGCAUCAGUUUGCAGCUGUGUAACGCCCAUUUGGUCAAUAGCCACCUCUGGCUUUGUUUCCUGGAAGCUGUGCAAUCAUCACCGCUAUCAUUUAGGGCUGAUAAUUUUGAGACACCUGUGUCCAGAUAAAAAUCUGGUCUCCUGGGAUUUAGAACCAGACAUUGAUUUUCUUUACUACCAGGAUCACUCACAGGAUAAAGUAAGACAAUGGCCAGGAGGGAAGAUGGGUUCAUCUGGAUAUUAGGCACUAAGGUUGGCUGCAUCACUGCGAUGGAAGAUACAGGAGAGGCACUUCUAAGGGUCUCAAGUCCAUUCUGACAAGCCUUCUUGGUAAAAUUCCAGGCCAAAAGAGGAGGCAGGAGGAUUCUCUGGAGCUCUGGCUAGUAUUUAGCAAGGCCCAUCUUCCUAGGCCUUGAGUUCACUGCCUUGGAGUGACACACCAUGUUUUGGAAGAGGUUUUAAGGUUAACCGUGCACUUUUUCACAUUAUUUUGGUCAGCCCUCAAAAUAAUGAUGUUAUUUCUUCUUUUUUAUUUAAAAUGAGAAAACUGAGACUCAGAAAAUUUAACACCGUUAGGAAGUGGCAAAGUAAGCAUUUCGACCCUGGCCAUUGGCUUAAGAGUCUGGUGUUCUUCAUCAGAGAAAAAAAGCACAGCCCUAUUGUGAAUAUGUUCUCAGAGAAUGUAUCUUUUAGCAUAGGACUUGUCAUUUUCAUCUUUUGAUUUAUUCCUUGAAUACUAUUUGCAUGUUUGAAAAUCCAAAACGGGUAAAACACUCCAUACCAUCCUUGUCCCUCAUCUGCCAUGCUCUUUCUUUCCAGCGCCAUGGUAACCACUAUUCUUAGUUUCUUCCAUAGUCUCUUUAUGUUCUAUCAGGAAGCAUGAGCUUCUUUUCUUCUUACUUCUUUUACACAAAAGUUACCAUGUUAUAAACAAUGUUUAAUACCUUCCUUUUUUCAAUUAACUAUAUAUCCUAGAGCUCUUUCUGUAUCAUUUUAUAGGAAGCUUUCUCAUUCUUCUUUAUAGUUUAUAGUAUUCUCUUGUAUGGAUGUUCUAUAAUUUAUUGAAUCAGUUCUCUAUUGAUAAAAACUUGGGUUGUUUCCUAUUUUUUACUACAAAACGCUCCAAGGAACAACCUUGUACAUUCAUCCUUUAGUACAUAUACAAGUAUAUCUGUAGGUUACUUUUCUGAAAGAAGAAUCGCUGUAGAAAAAUGUUUAUGUAUUUAUAAUUUUUGUGGAUAGUCAUCAGAAAUUGAUAAAGCCAAAAACUAAACACAAAGCCAUUUCAUCCCUCAUACCAGGGUUUAAUAAUUGGUUUACCAAGGACACACCCAACUAAUGAGGACUCCAGCUCAGUUCCUUUAUGAAUUGAGUAAAUACUGAGUUGGCCCCAAGGCCAUUCUUCAGAGCAGAUUCUUCCAGGGCUCUUAUCUUUGACUUUGGGUUCUCUCUCAUUUUUUUUUUUCUUUCGGUAGAUGCUCUAAGGCAAGAAAAUUGGAGACUUUUUUGAAAUUCUUCCUCUUGUCCUUCAGAUACAUCAUACUGGAAAACAGCUGAGACAAGCAUAUCUCUGCAACUGGCCUUAGUGAAACAGAAAAAUCACAGGCUCUGGGGUCAGAAAGACCUAAAUUUGAAUAUUGGUUUUCUCACUUUUUAAAUGCAUGAUCUUGGGUGGGAAUUUUAACCUCUCCAAGUCAUGCUUCUUUCAUGUGGGGAAGAGAAAAAAAAUACUUGAACCUAUCAAAAAUGGUGUGGUGAGGUUAAAGAUAAUGUGUGAAAAACACACUAAGGACUCAAUGGAUAUUUUCUGUUAUUUUGUAAAAUUGUCCUAAAAUACAUGCUUAUAAAUUCUUUUAUAUCAGUGUCGCUGGGGGCCUAGGACCAGCCUCUACCUGCAUCUACAUGAAUGACUCAUAACCUCAGCUUCCAAACCAUCUCAUUAUUGACGGUUUGCCUCUUGGUAAGCAGUUGAGGAGUGGUUUUCCACAUCCCGCUGAUGACACAGUGUUCCUCAUGAUAUGGCUGCAUUAGGCUCCAACCACACUUGUAACAUCAAAGCACCCUGGCUCAUCAAUUAGUCAGGAAGCAAUUUUUCACCAUUUGGUCCAGCACCUAAGCUGGCUCUUAAAAAGCACCAAGGUUUAUCUAGGGUCAGAUGGCUUAGAAAUCCUACAAAUAGGGCCACCCACAGCCACAUAGUUUUGUGACAGGUGUCUGGACUCACAAGAAGCAAAGACCCACAGAACACAGAGCAGACAUUUUCAGCUCUGAUCUGAGAGCUGCUGUUUCCAAGUCUGCAGAUUUAUCAUUUUAUUAUUUCUUGACACCCAAAUGAGCACACGAAGCUCUGUGUCCUCCUGGUGAAGGAAAGAGGCUCUUUGAAACAGACAACUCUGGUGAUGGCAGUAAUGCGAUGAUGGAUUAUCUUUAUGUUUCCUCAUUCCCUGAAUCCAUUAAAAGAGGGGAGUUGAAUUCUAUCUUAUCAAGAUCCUCUUUCCUUAAUUACUUUUUAAAUGACUGAAAUGAAAAUUUGCAAACAAGGCACGUGUUAGGUAUUCCUCUCAUCUUCAGCCUAUCCCUGACACCGUCCCAACUUCUGCCUUUCAAAGUAAUCCAGCAGCAAAGAUGUUCUAAAGUGUGAGUCACUCACAGAUUGUUCAGGGGGCUGAAGGAAAAUCUGCUAAUGGGAUUUGCAGUUCUACACCAGAAAAUAAUGAGAUAGGAAAUGGGCAAUGUGUACGUGAUUCUUCCAUGUCAUUCAGAAUAAUGAGAUCUUGGAGCAGCUUCUUCCUGAAUUGAAAUCAUUGACAAUGUAUUUGCAUAUUCAUUUUUGGAUACUUUGAUUUAAAAGUCAGUUAUGGAAGAAGUCAGUCUAACAUCUGAGAAUUGUAGGUACUUGAAAAGAAAAGAAAAAUUCUAUCCUACGAUUAUCUCUUUCCUCAAUGUUUCUUAGGACCUUGAAGAAGAGGUUGAGGGAACACAAACAUUUGGGUUAUAUUUUUAAAACUUAAAAAUAAAGAUUUGUGGAGAGAAUAUUGACCUAUAACAUUUGCAGCUUUUGCCUUUUAUUAUCAAGGGUUUGUUAAAGCCCAUCGUAUCAUCAUGAAGAUUUGAGUAGAAAUGUUCUUAUGCCUGUACUGUGCAAUACAGUAGCCACUAGCCACAUGUGCUAUUUGAAUUUAAAUUAAUUAAAAUUAAACCAGAUUAAAACAUUAGGUCCUUGGUAGCACUAACCACAUUUCUAGUGUGCCUGGUGGAUGAUACAACUCCUGGGUGUAGAAAGUGGCAGGCGUUUGUGUGAAUGAAUGAAAUCUCCCAGGCUGAAUGUGAUGGAGGCUUCUACAAUGAUUAAUCAACUAAGCAGCCUCUUUUUCCUCCUUAAUAACUUGGAGUUUUACUCGUCCUUCCUCCAUAACAUCUCUCUCUAACCAUGGCUAGCUGUGGAGAAAGAGGCUUGCAAAUUAAAGUUCAUGCAUUCAUGGUUCAAGACCUAGUUAAGCAUAAGUGGGUUAUCUGUAGUAAUCAAUCCUUCUGAAUCACCAAGUUUAUCCAAAUUUCUUGAUUCAGAAAAAAAUCAAGUCACAUCACCAAUGGAGUGGCUUUGGGAGAUUAUGUUCUCCCUAAAAAGAAAAAUGCAUCAGUUUUGCAUAUUGAUGUUAUUCAAUUUACAAGCAUAGGCAAAUAUAGCACCAUUUGAAAUAACACAAGAUUUGGGUUAGAUAUAUGCAAAAACAAGCAAGCAAACAAAACUUAAUAGUCCACGUUUUCUGAUUAUGAGUUCAUUCUCAAGUCUUGAUGAUUUAAGUCAACCUCACCCUUGAUGCAAAGCAAUAAUUAUGGGUUUUGUUGGUAAAAUCAAGUCAUCAUUCAAUAUUCAUGUGCUCUUUCAGAGAAAUCUCUUAGGCAGUUAAUGUUAUUUCUCCCUCCCUCUCUAUCCUUCCUCCCAACCCCACCAACCAUCAGCAUUGUUAUUCCAGCAGAUACAAUCAAAAUGUACACCACCAAAGGAAGUCUUAGAAGAACAAAAAAGGCUUAAGGCUUAAACAUGAAUAUCAAUGUGAAUCAUUCUAUGAGCUUCGUCUGGGGGGACAAAAGAGGUAGAACAGACUUAUUUGAUGUAUAUAAAAUGAUUAACUUUUACGGGACUUAUUCCCUACCAGGCACUGUUCCAUAUACUCCGUACGUACCAACUAUCACAGCAGCCCCCUUUCUCUGAUGAAGAAACUGAGAUAGGGAGAGGUUAAACAAUUGCACUCAAGUUACCAUAACCAAGCUACAAAAAAGGCAGUUUAGGACCACUGACUGUACUCUUAACCUUGAGGCCAAAUGCUGUGUCUACUUAAGUACCUGGGCUGGGGCUGCCUCCUUUGUCCCGAGUACAGCCUGAUAGAAUGGGCUGGCUUCUGGAGCUAUGGGAGGGCCUCAAAAUACAGUCAGCCCUGUGGCAUGUAUCACUGACUUAUCUGGAAGGUAUAAGGUAAGCUGAGGAACCACUGCGAUACUCACUUCCAGUCUCCCCCCACCGGGGCUGCUUUUGUUGGUCAGAUGUGGAAGGGAAAGCUACCUUCUCUACCGCCUUUGAUCAGACCUAGGCCACAGUGUGAAGAGGAGAGUGUGCCUGCUUCUUAGAGAAAGCUAGGAGACGAAUGUUCCCAGUCCUGCUAGCACACUCUUUGCAGGCUCUUUGGUGGGCUUGGGAUAACCCAGCACUCCUGAAGGCUACAGGGUGUGCUUUGUCUCCUAGACACAGAAAACUCUUUGGCAGCGUCUUAGCCUGGGUCCACAGUGCCCCUUGGGUAAGAUGAGGGUAAACAGGCUCCAAGGUCCAAAACAUGUCUGCUAUUAAGCCCCAUAUUAAUUUAAUUAAUUAAAACCUAAGAUAUAGUUGAGAAAGAAAAGCAAAAGACUUUCCUUUGUAGGAGCACCAAGUUAACCUAUUGCUAGUCGCCUCUUGGGCACACAAAUGAAAGCACAAUGCCAUAAACAGCAGUCCAGUCAGGACGCUUGGUCAGCUCAUCAUCCAGCUUCUUUAUGGUGGGGAGCUGCUAUGAAUGGCAGAGCAGCCCUGGGGUGGUAUGUGGCUGGGAAUUGACUCCCCUACCCUUUAUCUGCAGCAGAGUAACUGACAGAAGGUAGGGUUACGGGGCCAGAUAGAAGGGGAGAUUCCUUUCCCUGUGCUGCCUGGGUGGUCUUUUUGUCCCUAUCUUCCUGGAAAAGAUGAUUAGAUACAGUUCUGGGGUGGGAAGGAACCCACCCGCAUUGUUGCUUUGCAGAUAAGAAAACUGAAACUUGAAGUGGUAAAAUGACAUGCCCAAGGUCAGUUAAAUGUCAGAGAUUAUGAUCAUUGAUGUCAUCCAAAGAAAACUCCAAUUUUCUUCCAAGCUAUGAAGUGGAACCAAUUUGUAAUACAGCUUUCUCAAAGGGCUGAAAUCCUAUUUCUUAAAGCCUCAGUUUAUGUUGUUCAUGCAUUGAGCACUUGGGACAGAGGGAAUUGAGGCAGAGGAAAUUUUUUUAUUAUUAUUUAUAAUAGAAACUCCACUGUCUAAAGGGAUUUGAGGUGGCUUGUAAUGAAAGGCAGACAUAUCAUAAAGCUGUAAAAAUAUUUUAAAAGGAGAAAAAAAGUUGAAGGUUAGGAAAAAAAUCUGUAUCAAACCCCUAAGUUAAAGGCAGCCAAGGGGAACAGUAUGAGUAACUCAAUUCUCACUGCCUGUUGAAAGGAAGCGUAGUAAUGCUUAGCUACAACAUUCUUGGAGAAAAGUUAGUUGGUUAGCUUACUAUUAUUCUCUACUAAUUCUGGAGGGUCUUUUUAAAAAUUUUAAUUUAUUCAGGGAUAGGGCUCUGGGCCAGAUUGAUGCUCUGAUUCUUAAUGACAUAAUGGAUAGCCCCAGAAGCAGGUGCCAGAAGGCAUUACUAUCAUGGCUUCACUAUUACUCUGAGACACUAUUUUUAUUGUGCACUAUUUUAACCCCAUAUUAAUGACUGUAGAUUUUACCUGGGCACAUGUAUUGUCACCUAAUUAUUUAGUUGUCUUUUUACAGACUGUCAAGGUCUUUACUUCUUAACACAAGGACAUGCCAAGGCAGUACUGCAAGACAGGGAGACCUCGUCAGAAUUCAUUCAUCUGAGUUCAACAGCAUGUAUUGAGUACCCACUGCAUGCCCCAACCUUGCUAAGGAGCAAGGGAUAAAAAUGUGAGCUGAGCCUGAUUUACAGGCAAAGAUUCAAUGAUUUAUAAUACAAUAUGAUGACAUCAUAUGAUAACAGUGAUCAGAAUGAUGUGUUUUAGGAAUGCAAUAGAAAAAGGACAGAUUCUGCCCAGAGACAUUGGAGGUAGGUUACCAGGGGAGGUAAUGUUUUAUUCAUUCUUUUAACAAAUAUUGAGUAUAUAUUUUCUUCCAGAUACUAUGUUGGGUGCUGAGAUUAUCAAAGCAGUCAUGUUCUCUAUUUUCAUGGAACUUGAAGUAAUAGCCUAUUUAUACAUGGAGAAAAAGACUCAUAGUGUAUUGCAGAGAAAAAAGUAUUGCAGAGAAAAAAAGAGCUCUAUGAGCAAAGAUGAGAGGGACAUGCAAGCUAAAGGGUGACCAGAUAAUGUGUGGGGCAUGAGGACACUUGAACUGUAUCACAUACACAAUGGGGAGACGGCAAAGGUCUUAGGGAGUGGCAUGAUCAUAUUUGUACUUUAAGAGUUAGCCACAAAGAUUUAAUUACAUAAAAAAUAAAACCAUAAAAGUACUAGAAAAAAACAUAGGUAAGUAUAUACUUUUAACUUGGGGAAAAGCUUUCAACAUAUGGCAUCGAAAAGUUAAAACCACACAGAAAAGAGGGAUAGAUUUGAAUAUAUAAAGAUUUAAAAGUAAACCACAAAACCACUAAAGUUAAAAGGAUAAAAGUUUUAAAAAAAGUAAAAAGGACAAAUUGGGGGAUAUUCAAUAGCCUUGAUAUAGAAAUGACUCAUACAUACAAACAAGAAAAAGAAAAUGCCUUAUAGAACAAAAAUAAGAUAUUUGCAAAAGGAGAUAUUCAAAAGUUUCCCCCAAAAAACAACAGAUGAAAAAUGUUCAAACUCACUAGUAAUCUAAACAAAUUAAAAUAGGUAGCUAUCAUUCUUUACUUACCAGAUUAAACAAAGAUUUAAAAAGAAUACAGUAAUGCCAGCGUUAGUGAAGGACUAGAAGAACAGACUCUUAAGUACUACCUGUAUAUGAGUGGUUUAGAAGACCAAUUUGUAACAAAUGUCAGAAUUCUUAAAAAUUAAUAGAUAUACUGAUUUAACAAAUUUACUUUUAGGAAUAUAUCCUAAGGAAGUUGGCCAACUCACAAAAAAAUUUUUUUCCAAAUGGCUCAUUUCAAUGUUGUUUGUAAUAGCUAAACAAAAUACAAAAAAACACAACAACACAAACAACAACAAAAACCCACAAAACAAUGUAGAUGCCUAACCCUGAAACAAAGGAUUGGUUAAAAAAUACAAAGGCACUGCCACCCACUCAGACGCUAUGUAGCCAUUAAAAAUAAUAUGAAUCUAUACUUACUGACAUGGAAAUUUACCCAUAAUAUAUUGUUAACAAAGAAUAGAAGGUUACAGAGAAUUAUAGCAGGAUAUCAUUUUUGAAAAUAGUUAUUUUAUGUACAUAAAAAAUCCAGUAGGAAAGACAAAAUAUUGUAUCAUUUUUCUGAUUGUAGUUUUUUUCAUUCUGCUUUUUAUUUUCUCAUUUUUCUACAUCAAACAUGGAUUAAUACAAAAAUAAUUCAAUCAUUAUAACACAUUAAAGGUGAUUAGCCUCAGGCACAAAAGAUGAAGGGCAUUCAGGAGGCAUUUGCCAUAAACCAGGAAAGAAAUGAGAAAGGCUUGUGCUGGACUCCAGUGGUUUCCAGUCCUAGCUGUACUUUAGAAAUACCUAGGGAGGUAUUAAAAAGUACUCAUUUCAGGCACAACACAGACUAAUUAAUUUAGAGUCUCUGGGAUGGUACCUUGACACUGGUAUGUUUUAACGUCUGCCCCCUGCCUUGCCCCAAGUGACUCUAAAAUGUGCAGGUGGAGAUAAGUCCACUACUCUAAGGCAGUGGCAGUUGGAAAGGAGAAGAAGAGGAUUUGGACCUGAAUUACGUUCCAGGGGUGGGAUCCCUAAAAAGGAUAUAAAUCUUAGGACAUGAAUUUGGCUUUAGUGGGUUUCCUUCCAUUCUAUAUAGCUCUCAAGGUCAAGUGCAUUGCUGAGGAAUGGACAAUAGCCUCUGCUGAUCCCUCUGAUCUAAGCUGCUGCUGGCACGGCAGCAUUGGAGGCUACAUCCAUUCUCAGCACAUUUGGAGUGCAAUGAUGCUGCAGGAACAAAUCGCCCACCUUCCAAAUGCCCUGUGAGUGAGUCAGUGCUCAGCAGCAUUGGCAAGGCGGAGCGCUGUAACGGCAAAGAAAGGAUGACAUCUCAUAUACAUGUGUGAACAGGACUGUUUACUCAUAGGAUGAUUAUUUUAAAGGAGACGUUUGGUUUUUUAAGGUCCGUAGAAGUUUGUUUCAUCGCUAAUCGCAGCGGGUGUAGGUGUUAGCUAACAUACCGGUAACUGAAUGUUCUUAGCAAUACUGCAAUAGCUUCCCUUAAGGUUUAAAAAUUACAAUUUGAUUUUAAUUGCCACCUCUCUUAAUAGGUGUUACUCAAACAGGAAGGAAAAUGCCACAUACUCUUACCAGUUCUUGAUGCCAGAGAUUACUAAAGCAAUUUGGAAAGAUAUCGAAAAGGUGUUGAGAAAAUACAGGUGAAUUUUAAUACAUGAUGUGUAUUGACAUUUUUACUCUAGGUAGCAACAGAGAGACUUCUGUAUUGCUGGGGAGGAAUUAUAUGAGAUUUUGGCUACGGAGACAGGAUUUCUCACUUCUUAUUGGCUGAAAAAAAAAUAAAUGAAGCCAUUAGAAGCAGUAUUGAAAUAUUAAUCAUACCUUCCAAAAUUAAACACUCUUUUAAAAAUAAAAGUUACACAAUCUGUCUUUCACUUCAUCUUUGACUUUCAUCCCAACACUGGUGGGAGGAAAUAAGCUCUGGUUAAAAUCAAGACUGAAAGUGACUUUGACUUUGCAGAGAACAGUGUCAAGGCGAAGAACUUGACUGUAUCUUCUCUCCCACUUGGGGUCAGUGUUUAGGCACAUGAGAGAAGAUGAGGAACCAGGACAGGAAAUGGCAGCGUUUCCACCAAAGGUCAAGGGGAACAUUAAUGGGCUACAUUCCAGACCCAAGGCUGACGAUCUUCUUCAAAGGAGUCAGUGGUGGAAACACAGACUCAGAGCCACUCCCAAAAGGUACGAUGAGGUCAGGAUCAUUGAAGAGAGGCAGUGCACAGGGGGCGUUCGGGUGAGCAUCUCUAAAGUUACCUUUCUGGUUGGUCUUUGACAUCAAAGUGCGUAAGUCUGCCUUUCAUGGGCAGGUAGAAAUGCUGUGCAGGUGAAAACAGGCCUCUGGCAAGAUAAGAACAGAAAUCUUUGAGCUUCAAAUUACAGAUCUUUAUGUUUCACUGAAACUUGUCUUUACAGGGGUGUCAGUCUCCACUGUGACUGACCACAAAACCCUGCAGGAAAGAGGCUGUGGGUUUUCCUGCGUGGUCCCCAGACCCUAAUAUGCCCAUGUGGCUGCCUAAUACACAUCUCUAUUUAAAAUGUUCAGAAUCUGUGUACUUGGUAAGUAAAUUUCAAACAAUACCCUUCCUCUCUUCCGCUCCCUGUCUCCAGACCCCCAUUUUCCCUCCCUGAAGAUAACCACUGCUAGUGCAUUUUUAGACUUCCUACCGGAGAUAGAUAUUCUUCUUGCUCCGUUUCUCUCUCUCUCUCCACACGCACACACACUCACACACACACACACAUAAAUACAUAUACACACGUAAACAUAACAUAUACAUAUUUUUACAUAGAUAGAACUUCACACACUGCUCUGUACCUUGUCUUGUUCCCUCAUGUUCACUUAUCAAUAAAUUCUGGAGAUCAUUCCACGCCAUUCCAUACAGGACUGAUUCAAUCUGUGCAUGAAUGCAUAGCACUCCACUGCAGAGGUGAACCACAAUCUGUUCAACCAGGCCUCUCUAACUGAUGGAAUUUAGAGUUUUUCCAGUCUUUGUCAAUGCUGCACUAAAUGUCUUUGUAUAACUAUUUUUAUGUCUGUGGAAGUAUUUCUGAAAGAUUAAUUCCUGGAUAUAAAAUUUCUGAGUACAUGUACUUUAAGUUCUGAUUGAUAUUGACAUAUUUUCCUUCAAAUAUCGAGCCAAUUCAUACUCUAUCAAGAAUAUAUGAGGCCUUGAGAAUAUUAAGUGAAAGAAGGCCACAAAAGACCACAGAAUAUAUGAUUCCUAUAUCAUGAAAUAUCUAGCAUAGGCAAAUCCAUACAGAAAUCGAUUAAUGGUCACCAGGGGUUGGGGGAAGGAAGGAGCUAAAGAGUAAGUGGUAUUGGGUGCAGGAUUUCAUUUCGGUGUGACGAAAAUGUUCUGAAUUCAGAUAGUGGUGAUGCUCCUACAUCUAUAAAUAUGCUAAACCCCACUGAAUUUUAUACUUUAAACGGAUGAAUUUAUGAUAUGUGAAUUCUAUCUCGAUAAAGCUCUUAUUUUAAAAAAUGCAUGAGAGUACCUGUGCCUUCCACUCCCCUAUUGACAGUGUAUGUUCACACUUUUUCAUCACCAUUCUAAUUACAACAUCUUGCUUCAUUCCUUCUAAAGGAGGACUAAGCAGGAAAGAAAUAGAUUGAACGGGCCAACCAGGUAUUUUAGGAUUUGGGCUGUCAACUUUAUAGUCUAACAGCAAUGGAAAUGUCUAAGAUGGAAACAAUCAAAACAGUCAAGUUGUCAACAAUUGCCAAUGAAUUCAGCAGCCUAAAUGAAACAAGCAAGGAAUGAGACUUAAGAAUUUAAAAAAGGGAUGAAGGACCCAGUUCUUCCAGCCUAAAGGAUUUUGAAAUCUCCGUUUGCUUAACCAAGGACAUGAAUGCCACAACUCCUGAAUGCAGAACUUAAUCCAGCAGCGUGCCUCCAGUAGAAAAUAAGCUGAAGUUCAAUGUAUUCUCUAUGAAGAAGGUAUGGGAGCUGAGUAAAACAUUUUUGUACACCAUUCUAGAGCUACUGAUAGGCUGAAAAAAUUAACCAUUGCUUGCCCCUCUUAAAACUCAUAUUUUCAUUGAGAUGGGUUUCCUUUGGAUUCCAUUUCGCCCCUUUUCACCUCUCACCUCCAAGAUUAACCCUGCUAAAUACUUCUUUUUCUAUGAUGUCUUAUAUUUCAAACUGCUUGUGCCUUGUGGGAUUAAAAGCUAAAUACUCUUUAACAAGAGUAAUCCCCUAAGUGGACAUGUUUCUGAGAUUGUUAGGCAUUUGAUCACAAGUGAAAGAUGAGAAUGCAGCGGGAAGGUAUGAAAGCACAGAGAGUAGAGAGGUUCAGGAUUUUCACCUUAGUAAUAAUUGAUUGCAAAGGGGCUCUCCAAGCCAAUAUUUGCAUGAAAAUAGGCCCAUUCUUAAUUCUCAAGAAUAAGCUCAUUUUUCUCCCUUCCAUUGAGAAGCAAUAUGACCCCAAGGAAAUACAUCCCAGCAAGUGAGGCCUUGACACACUUGACCUUUCCCAGUUUUUGACUCAGCUUAUGUGGCUUUAAUAAUAACAGCUAGCACUUACAAAUAAUGCAUUUAAUAUGUGGCAGCCACUGUUCUAGGCACUCUAUAUAUACUGGCUCAUUUAAGACCCAACAAUCUUGUGAGGAAAACACUAUUUGUCCUGCUGCUAUGGACUGAAUUGUGCCUCCCCACCCCUGCAGAAAUCAUAUGUUGAUGCCUUAACCCCCAGUGUAGUGGUAUUUGUGGAUGGGCCUUUGGGGAGGCAACUGGGUUUAGAUAAAGCCAUGAGGGUGGGGUCCUCAUAAUGGGAUUAGGGCCCCCCUAAGAAGCGGCUCCAGACAACUUGCUUCCCUCUCCUGUCACUGCCAUGUGAGGACACAGGGAAAAGGCAGAAGAAUUUCUGAAAGUCAGAAGAAUUUCUCACCGGGGAACCAAGUUGGCUAUCACCUUGAUUUUGGACUUCCCAGUCUCCAGAACAGUGAGAUAUAAUUAUUCACUGUUUAAGGCACUCAGUCUAUGGUAUAUUGUUGUGGUAGCCCAAGCUGACUAAUGUAAACCAAAAUUAAAAUUCUAAGGCCCCUCAACCAUCUGAAUGAACCCUUCCUCCUGGCCAAGGACAUUCCAAAAUUAACCUGAAGAACAAGUUCAGGCUAUGAUGGGAAGGGGGAGCUGGACAUGCCUCAUUAUACCCUCCUCCCUUUUGGAAUUACUGGUAGAACGGACUCUAAGUUUGAUAAGAAACAUUUACAAUUUAUUCUCUCUGAAGUCUGCUACCUGGAGGCUUCAUCUGUAUGACAAAACCCUGGUCUCUAUGACCUCUUAUUGUACCCAGACAUUCCUUUCUAUUGAUAAUAACUCUUUCAACCAAUUGCCAAUUGGAAAAUCUAAUCUACCUAUGACCUGGAAGCUCCCACUUCAAGUCAUGCUGCCUUUCUGGACUGAACCAAUGUACAUCUUACAUGUAUGGAUUGAUGUCUCAUAUCUCCUUAAAAUGUAUAAAGCUGAGCUGUACCCCACCACCUUGGGCACAUGUCAGGAUCUCCUGAGGAUGUGUCAUGAGUGUGUCCUUAACCUUGGCAAAAAUCAACUUUCUAAACUGAUUCAGACCUGUCUCAGGUACUUUUGGUUUACAUUAAUAUGAGUGCUACCUCAUAGAGGAGCAAAUCGAGACCCAGGGAGGCUAUGUCAUAGCUUACCUAGGGAGAACUAGAAGAUGAUGAAGGCAGGAGUCAAACUCACAUAGUCUCACUCCAGAGUCUGUAUUGCUCAUUACUAUGGUCAAAUGCCUGCAAUGAAGGCAAUAGCUUGUGUAUUCUGGCCUCCUCUUCUGCCAUCCUGAAACUCCAAAUUAUGCCAUCAUGUGGACUCACAAAAGAUUGUGUUCAGGCUUCCACUGUAUGUCUCAUGUGUUUUGGAGUUUGUGCCCUCUACUCAUCUGGGAGCCUGGUAAUGGCUGGGACUUUUUUUCAUUUCCACUCCCUCAGUUCUUAGUGCAGUGCCUGGGUAGGUGUUUACUAAAUCUUGUUAAGUGAAUAUGUGUAAAGACGAAACAGCCUAAUCUCACAAAGUUUUACAAAUAAGAAUAAAUCAUGUGAGUUCUUUGCAAAGAAGAAUAUUGCAGUAUGACAGGCUGAUUUGGUAAUAACUCAGCUAGCAGAGACCUGCUUAAACAGUUACCCAAGCCCGAGAAGGAGCAAUUUUGUGCUGUCUUAUGAUAGUCUGAAUGGACUUAGGGGGAUACCAGUUUUCUGUUUUGCUCUUGGCCCCUUGCUCAUAAAAAGUACUACUGCAGGUUGGGCUGCUGCAGAAGCAGGCUCUGAGAUAGAAUCUAGUGUGCAGGAUAUUUAUAAGGAGGGUCCUUGGGAUCUAUGCAUUCCACAGGAAGAGACUAAGGCAGAACUGGGUAGAGGAAGAAGUUGAAAUGUGGUGCAGGCCCAGUGACGGCCUGGCUGAGCUCAUGAGAGCUCUUGAGCUAGAAUGGUCUUGCUAGAGUUGAGCCAGAUGGCAAGGUCUUCUUACUCCAAAGCUAUUAGUCACUAGAUAUGGGCUGCCCAGGAGGGGCUUGAUCAUGAGCAAGGCAGCUUGCCUGAAGGGAUGGCAGCUGAAGGCUGUCUGUUGACAGACUUCCAGCAGCUGGGACAACAAGCUCUUAUUUCAGGGAGGUCUGGGUGGUGUAUCUCAGUGUCCCACACAUGAACAUUACUUUGGAAUGAGUGUUUCCACAGCACAGGAGCCCAGCAUGGUGAGUAUUCUCAUUAUUACAGAAUAUUACUUUCAUCUCUUGAGCCGGAUUUUCUUUUAUGACUCUUGGCAGAUGCCCAAAGAUCCUAUGUCUGUGUAGCAUCUUUUUGAAAGGUUUUUUCAUACAUAAUAUCUCUUAUAUGAGAUUCCUUUCUAAGAACACUCUACCUCCCAGAGUCUGGCUUUAAAUUUGUUUUCUCAUGUUUCCUUCAUAUCUCAGAAGAAAAAGUUCCCUCCCCCUUUCUCAGGUUAAUUUUUCUUCUAUUACUUUGACUUGCCCCUUCUUGAUCUCCUACAAAACCUAGUUCUUUCAGUGAGUCUCAAGUCCCCUCAAUGUCUUUCCUCCCCUAUGCAGGGUAAGCCCUAGAAUAUUAUUGUAUGGGAAAUCGGGUCUUAGUAAGAGAGUAAACACAAUGAUGUGUGGGCAUAGAAGCAGGGAGGCCAGGAAUGAGAUGCAGCUCUGCUAAUGAAAUACAAUUUAACACACUAUAAGCAGGGAUUCUUCUAGGAAGUUUUGAUGAAUAAUUCUUAGUUGCUUAUUCCUCUGACGAGCCCCUGAGGGUUGUAUCAGUGGAAGGUCUCAUGGUGAAGUAGGAGGAAUGUGGUUUUUGGAGUUAUUCAGGACUGAUUUUGACUUAUAGCCAAGUCAACUUGCUAGCUGUGUAACCCCUCAGUUUAAUCAGUUUAGUUACCUUCUCUUAGCUUUAGUUUCCUCAUCUGGAACACAUGGCUUAUGAAGUCCUCCCUCAAAGGGUUGCUGUGAAGGGGACACUCAAUGAGAUGACACAGGUGAAGACUUGCAUAGCAUCUGGCACGUGGUAUACUCUGUCACGCACACGCUGCUUCCCCACUGAGGCAGUUGCACUGGGAGUCCAGCUGGCCAGGUGCCACCUCUCCUCUGGCUCAUUCACGCAUGUGGGCCCCACUACUUUUUGAUUUUACAUUUAAACCCAGUGCUCUGAAUUCCUGUCUUGCCUUUAUUGGUGAGAUAUCUCCAUCUCAGUUACAGCUGAGCAGGUGUAUUAUGAGCUGAGUGAAUGCAAGAUUGAACAAAUAAAAAAUACAACAUGUAAGUGAACUCAAAAAAGGCUUUUGGAGUACCCUGUAGUUCAAAUGGUUUGUGCUUAUUCCAUUCACAGAUGGCACAUUCUAUCUGCAAUGACUACCAAGCUAAGUAUGGCAAGAUGGUUUCUUAGUAUGAUAAGAGACUAAUAGGACCCUACUUCUCAUUUGUUAACCCCUCACAGUGUACCAAUAUUAAACAAGGUAUUUUAAAAAGAUCUGUUCCUGUCUUUGUGGUUAAUUUUUAAGAGUUAAAAUUCUUCUUGUUCUAUGAGCCCCUGAAAAUUCAUUUUAAAUCAACAGGCAAAGAGCCAGCUACGAGGAAGGGCAGAGCAAAAAUAAACUUUAUCCAGCAGUCAUGUCUUAGGGAAAGAAUUGGACAAACCUCUUCCUUGUUUCAGUAGAAACUUCAAUACGUGUAACAGAAUUAAGGAACAGCUAGAUUGAUGCUUGUAGAGGCAAAAAGAUAUAGAGAGUAUAUAUAUUUAAUCAGACUAAUCAAGCACACAUCUGUAAGUGAAUUUAAAAAAUGACUUUGCUUUGAGGAAGUUGACUCUCAUUUUGGUUUGUUUCAUGAUUGACUGAAUUAUUCUCUGUCUUGCAUGUCACCUUAUUUGACUUGACACUAAUCUGACAGAGGGAUGUACAGGAAAAUCUGCAGGCCUGGGUGUCAGCCCUGAGUCAGGACUCUGACUCUGUUGCUUCUUAGCUGUGGGACCAUGGGUAAGUUACUCAAUCCUCUGACCUUCAGUUCCUUCAAUAGUAAAAUGAGGUUUUAAUACUUACUUCUACUAUAGUGUGUAUAAAAUGUAAUACAUAUAAAGUGCCAGGAGUGAAGUAGGUAUUAAAAAUGCUAUAGUUCCUCUCUCCUUGCCUGCUAAUUUCCAAAAUAUCCUAUGGCUUUUAGUCAUAUGAUAAAUUUUGGUUGCUACCAUUUUUCCCUAUUAGGCACUAUUUACUGAUACAGAAUACUCUAUACUUAGUGCUGUUGUCAUAAGCAAGUCUCUAGACAAAGAGAGGAAAUUGCUGAGGCAGUUUAGCUUGACAGGUUGACAGAGCCAGGCUCUGACACUUAUCAAAUGUUUGACCUUGGGCAAUUAGUUAAACAUUCUGUGCCUCAGUUUCCUCCUCUCUAAUAUGUGGAUAUUAAACCUCAUUCCUAGGUUUGUGUUGAGGAUUAAACGAGUUAAUCUAUUUGAAGCCAUUAGCAUGGUGCCUAGCAAUCGUAGGAACAAUGUUGAUGUCAGCUAUUGAAACUGCUGCCCCUCGUUGCUAUGUUUGUGGCUGCCUUCCUACUCACAGCUCUCAUCUUCAGGAACUGCUUCCACCCACUAAUCGCCUCCCCCAGCGAUGUUUGCAUUACAUAAAUGGUGUAUCCAUCCAAGCCCCAACUGUUUAGAUCAGGAGUGGACGUCUCAUCUGAGCUGGAAAAAUCAGAACCCUCUCUUUGGUUUGGGAACAGCGAGUAAUUGAGAGCAGCCAGCUGUGGGCUGUGGAGCUGGAAGGUUGCAUAGACUCAGGUCUGAGGCUAUUAUCUGGUCCUUGAUGGAUGAAUGGAGAAAGCUUUCUGCUAAGAGAAUCAGGAAAGUGGGGACAGAUAUAAGAGAAAACCAGAGAGGAGAAAGUUUAUGGCCCGUAAGAAAUGAUGAGAGGUCCUGGGAAGAUGAAUUUUCCAGUUCCUGAGACCAGGCUGUGCUGAGCACUCUGCACUUACACUCUUGAGAUGCCCACAUUCUUACAUGAUGACGCUCCAAUUCCCAACCCCUUCCCGACCGGCUUAGGCAACUCUCUCUUCUGUGCAGGCAAAGAAGCUGUGAUGAAAACACUGAACUUCAGCAGGAAGUGAUCUACAUCCUUGGUCUACAAAUGUUUUUGCUCACAUAGUUGCAGAAUUUUUAGGAACUAUGUACCCCUACACAUUUUCAAGUCGAUAUCUAAAAUUUUUAUCUUAAGUUUAAAUGUCAUAGCCCAUAGAAUCUAAUAGUCCAUUGAUUGCAAGAUAUAUUUCUUUCACAGUAUUAUGAACAGAUAAGAAAAAAUAAAUGCUUACCAUUUUUAUAAGAUACACCCCAAUUUAACAGAUGUUAAAAUGAAAAAUAUGUCCCUUGGAAUCACUGAAAUGUGAACAUUAAGGAUAUAAUCCUUAUACAUUAUAAAUAUUGACAUUAAAAAAAGCCUGCUACAUUAUUCUUUUAACUGUGUCCAAAGAAUCUAAAUACUAUAAAGAUUUAAUAUUCACAUGAUCCAGUUAGAAAAUAUACUAGAUGAGCAUGAUGUACUCUGACAUUUGGAAAAUUUAAAUCUUUUUCCCCCUUGAAUCUAGAUUUUCAACCUAUUACCACACAAGAUUUAAUCUAAAUGUAUAUAAGGUAUUUAUGUAAAAAUAUAGUAGUCUUUAAACCUUUUACUUAUUCCCCUAUCAUACAUUUUUUGUAUACAUACAAGAAAAAUAUGCAUAUGAACUGGAAAUUUGCUUUAUUCUCUGUAUUCAUAAGGCUGUAAAUCUGCACUAUCCCAAUAUGGUAGCCACUAGCACCUGUUGCUAUCUAAAUCUAAAUGAACAAAAAUGAAAAAGUUAAAAACUUAGUUUCCCCAUAUUAGUCACAAGAGCCCGAUAGCCACAGUGGCUAGUCAGUAGUUGAUGCGUGGAUACAGAUAGAAAACGUUAGUAUUGAUGCAGGACAUUCUAUUGAACAGAGCUGCUCUAAAGGUUAAAAAUUUCUUUCAGAUACACUUAUUAUUUUACUUCUUAUAGGCAUUCAAUUGAUCAAAACAACCUAAACAUAUAACAUAAUUUUAUAAAUAAUGUAAUUGACACAAAGAGAAAACAUUUUAAGGAUUUGUGGCUUCUCAUCAAAUAAAUGGAGCAGAAUUUUUGUUUUGUUUUUUAAGUAGUUUCAUGUGUUGUGUGACUUAUUUCUAGAAUAAGAUAGAGGCCAACAUCAAUUUUAUUUCUAUUUUUUAGUUUUAUAAAUGGAAACACUGAGAAAUUUUCUUUCUUUCUUUUUUUUUGGAGAUGGGAGUCUCGCUCUGUCACCCAGGCUGGAGUGCAAUGGCACCAUCUUGGCUCACUGCACCCUCCAUCUCCCAGGUUCAAGCGAUUCUCCUGCCUCAGUCUCCCAAGUAGCUGGGAUUACAGGCUUGCACCAUCAUGCCCGGCUAAUUUUUGUAUUUUCAGUAGAGACGAGGUUUCACCAUGUUGGCCAGGCUGGUCUUGAACUCCUUACCUCAGGUGAUCUGUCUGCCUUGGCCUCCCAAAGUGCUGGGAUUACAGGCAUGAGCCACUGCACCUGAGAAGUUUUCUUCAUACAAAUAAGGAGAUAAUGAAGAACUUUAUCACAUUUCACUUCUUUGAACUUUUCCUGAGCCAAAAAAAAAAAAAAUCACAUAAUGAUCUAUCAUCAAAAUUUAUAUUUAAGGAUAAUUUAGCUGACAACUUUAUUAGGUACUUCAGUUCUGUUCAAAUCAAGGAUUGGAAACCACUUUGCUUGCAAAAUAAUUUGGCAUUAUAGCCAUCUGCUGUCUCAAUUUCUGGUAAGUCCCGUAUAUCAAAAACAUACCAAGAUUUAUUAAAUGAUCAUCAGUUGAACUUUUUGAGACAGGUCCUCCCUUUGUUGCCUAGGCUGAAGUGCAGUGGCAUAGUUAUAAUUCAUUACAGCCUUGAAUUCCUGUGGUCAAGUGAUCCUUUCCCCUCAGCCUUCCAAGUAGCUAGGGCUACAGGCGCAUGCCACCACACCCAGCCAAUUGUUUUAAAUUUAUAUUUUAUUUUUAGUAGAGAUGAGGUCUCACGAUGUUGCCCGGCUGGUCUCUUGAACUCCUGGGCUCAAGCUAUCCUUUUUUUGGCCUCCCAAAGUGCUGGGAUUACAGAUGUGAGCCAUCGAGUCAUCAUACCUGGCCUAAACUUUUAUUCUUUCACUUAGAGGCACUCUAUUUCACUAUAUAUAUCUAUAUAUAUAUUUUAAGUUAGGAAUAUAUUACUGGUUUUAUUAUAUUUUUGCCAAUACUACCUUUUUGUGCUAAAUGUUCUUUUCUUAUGCUUUAAAUACAUAUUUUUUUUUCCAGAAGCCGAAGCUACAAACUCAUUUAAUUAUGGGAAAUGUUGGUCAUGAACUCUAAUUGGCAAAGUCCAAAUUAACAUUCCAACAAAUUAGCCAAAUUAGAAUUACUUCCUGUCAAAAAAAGUAUGACUUCAAUUUUCAACAAACAUGUUAAUAUGUUUUAUCAAAUAUUAUAAGAUCUAAAGAGAAAUUAUGAAAUGCAUCUUGUAAGACAAGUCAGGUCAAGAUUAAAAUG